GCAGUAGGGAAUCUUCCACAAUGGACGAAAGUCUGAUGGAGCAAUGCCGCGUGAGUGAAGAAGGGUUUCGGCUCGUAAAACUCUGUUGUUAAAGAAGAACACCUUUGAGAGCAACUGUUCAAGGGUUGACGGUAUUUAACCAGAAAGCCAUGGCUAAUUACGUGCCACCAGCCGCGGUAAAACGUAGUUGCCAAGCGUUGUCCGGAUUUAUUGGGCGUACAGCGAGCACAGACGGUUUUUUAAGUCUGAUGUGAAAGCCUUCGGCUUAACCGGAGAAGUCCAUC
rnacentral:rRNA from 1 species